rnacentral:rRNA from 1 species
CCGUCAAUUCCUUUAAGUUUCAGCCUUGCGGCCGUACUUCCCAGGUGGCUCGCUUCACGGCUUCCCUACGGCACCGACAACGGUCGCACCGUGGCCGACACCUAGCGAGUAUCGUUUACGGCUAGGACUACCCGGGUAUCUAAUCCGGUUCGUGCCCCUAGCUUUCGUCCCUUGCCGUCAGGUCCGUUCUGGUGAGACGCCUUCGCCACUGGUGGUCCUUCAAGGAUUACAAGAUUUCACCCCUACCCCUGAAGUACCUCUCACCUCUCCCGGCCUCGAGCCAGACAGUAUCUCCUGAAAGCCUGACAGUUAAGCUGCCAGAUUUCUCAAGAGACUUAUCCGGCCGGCUACAGACCCUUUAGACCCAAUAAUAACGGUUACCACUCGAGCCGCCGGUGUUACCGCGGCGGCUGGCACCGGUCUUGCCCGGCCCUUGCUAUGAAAUGCUUUUUAGGCAUCUCGACAGCCAGAUUUGUAACCUGGCACUCGAGGUUCCCUUAUCGCUGUUGCCAGCAUUGUAAAGUUUUCGCGCCUGCUGCCUCCCGUAGGAGU